AUAGAUGUCUAAGGACAUUGAUCUUGAGAGAGACAACUCCAAACCCCAAGGGUACUAGACCCUUCUUGGAGUUUUGCGUCAUGUACUUGACCAAAUUCUCAUCAAUGUAAGUGACAUGGCACAAUUUUCCAAUUCUUGCAGUCCUAAAGGACCUUAAAUCCAAGAAUAUAUUGCACAUUCAUCUAGAUUUUUAUCUAGAACUGAGUAAACUACUAGAUCUUAAUUGAUGACAAUAUCCCCACAUCAUAUCCAAUGAGUAAAUUGUG
rnacentral:lncRNA from 1 species